rnacentral:rRNA from 1 species
CCUACGGGUGGCAGCAGUGAGGAAUAUUGGUCAAUGGGCGGGAGCCUGAACCAGCCAAGUCGCGUGAGGGAAGACGGUCCUACGUAUUGUAAACCUCUUUUGCCGGGGAGCAACGGGGUCCUUGCGAGGGCCCGAUGAGAGUACCCGGAGAAAAAGCAUCGGCUAACUCCGUGCCGGCAGCCGCGGUAAUACGGAGGAUGCGGGCGUUAUCCGGAUUUAUUGGGUUUAAAGGGUGCGUAGGCGGACAGUCAAGUCAGCGGUAAAAAUGCGGUGCUCAACGCCGUACAGCCGUUGAAACUGGCAGGCGUGAGUGGGCGAGAAGUAUGCGGAAUGCGUGGUGUAGCGGUGAAAUGCAUAGAUAUCACGCAGAACUCCGAUGGCGAAGGCAGCAUACCGGCGCCCGACUGACGCUGAGGCACGAAAGCGUGGGUAUCGAACAGGAUUAGAUACCCCAGUAGUC